UUGUGUGUGCUGGAACUUUGUUUUUCUCUUGUCUUCAAGUAUAUAUCCUUUCGUAUCCAACCCUUUCAACAACAUAUUUUCCAUCUACGAACAUUCUCCACCAUUAAUUAAUGUUGUUUCUACUACCACUAUAUAUAUGCUAGCUACCAAGCUAGCACUGUUGAUCUUUCCUUAUUAACGACCACCGCCGGCCAAUUAUCAACUAAUCCUAGCUAGCUAGCACGUACCGGCCACUUAUAUACCGUCAAGGGACGAGGGCGAUACAAUUGAUGUGGAACCCUAGUGCAGCAACGCCGGUUUGUCAAGAGGAAGAUGAUUCAUGGGAGGUGAAAGCGUUCGCAGAAGAUGCUGGAAAUGUUAUGGGAACCACUUGGCCACCAAGGUCGUAUACUUGCACAUUUUGUAGAAGAGAAUUCCGGUCAGCUCAAGCCUUAGGAGGUCACAUGAAUGUCCACCGCCGAGAUAGGGCUCGCCUCCACCAAAUUCAACCUAACUUACAUAACCCUAAUCUAUCUUCUUCCAAUUCUACCGGUACUCUCUUGGUUCCAACUCAAGAACUUAUGGCAAGCAGUGGUCUAUGCCUUUUGUACUCUUUACCUAACAACCCUAAUGCACUUUUGAACCACUCAUUUUUGAAUGGCAAUAAUCCUUCCAAUUAUCUCACCGUUACACCUCAUUCCAAUACCGGAAACUUCAUGAGCUAUAAAGCAAACACGGUUCCUCAUCAUAGCUUCGGUUCAUCCCUCACUUAUUCUAGCAACACUACUGAAGCAUCAACGCCGACACAUCUUAGUCAUGAAAACAAGAUAUUAGAAAAGACUGAUUCGGCAAUAAUUGAGGGCAUCGAUCUAGAGCUUCGUCUAGGAUGCAGCUCAUCAGCUUCUUGAAAGACAUAUACCUGGAUAUAUAUUGUACAUCAGAAGAGAUAGCUAGAGUGGUGGUAAAUUCUAGUCUAAUAAAGAAGGGAUAAUUCCAAGCUAUGGGAGAAUUCAUGUUGUACGUUCGUUAACCAUUGGAUCAUUAUGAAUGCUGAACUAAGGUUUAAGAUACACAUAUUUUUUGAUUGGUCAAUCGGAGGGAUCUCUGAUCGGAUGUUUCAACAAGGAGAUCAUAUAGCUUGUCGAAGAUGCAAGUCAGAUUUCUAGUAUUUCGUGUUUUAAUUCAUCUUACUUCUCAUAUGGCUUAAUGUUGAGAUAGGUGUACGAGCCUACAAGUUUGGUAUAAAAAGUUUGUAAAUGGUGACAUCAGUUUUUUCCCCCCAAUAUUUUUGAUUGUUUA